GAUGAACGCUGGCGGCGUGCCUAAUACAUGCAAGUCGAGCGAACAGACGAGGAGCUUGCUCCUCUGACGUUAGCGGCGGACGGGUGAGUAACACGUGUAUAACCUACCUAUAAGACUGGUAUAACUUCGGGAAACCGGAGCUAAUACCGGAUAAUAUCUUGAACCGCAUGGUUCAAUAGUGAGUGACGGUUUUGCGGUCUCUUAUAGCUGGAUCCGCGCCGCAUUAGCUAGUUGUUAAGGUAACGGCUUACCAAGGCGACGAUGCGUAGCCGACCUGAGAGGGUGAUCGGCCACACUGGAACUGAGACACGGUCCAGACUCCUACGGGAGGCAGCAGUAGGGAAUCUUCCGCAAUGGGCGAAAGCCUGACGGAGCAACGCCGCGUGAGUGAUGAAGGUCUUCGGAUCGUAAAACUCUGUUAUUAGGGAAGAACAAAUGUGUAAGUAACUAUGCACGUCUUGACGGUACCUAAUCAGAAAGCCACGGCUAACUACGUG
rnacentral:rRNA from 1 species